rfam:Tupaia chinensis contig210437, whole genome shotgun sequence.
GUGCUUGCUUCGGUGGCACAUAUACUAAAAAAAUUGAAAUGAUACAGAGAUUAGCAUGGCCCCUGCAUAAGGAUGACAUGCAAAUUCAUGAAGCAUUCCAUGUGUUU